GAAUCCUUUCUCGCGCCGCCGAUGACGAUCUCCACCACCGUUGUACCUCCAACUCCGAAUCCAGUUUAUCAAACCUGUGUCGAUAGGAUCGUCUUAUACCUCAAGCAGUUAAAGGAGUGUCUCCACACGGUGUCUAAAGAUGCAGAUUGGGCGUUCCUCAACUGAAGCAGAACACAAAGCCUCUCUGCUUCAUCCUCGG
rnacentral:lncRNA from 1 species